AACGCGAAGAACCUUACCUAGGUUUGACAUCUUCGGACGACUAUAGAGAUAUAGUUUUCGUAGCAAUACGACCGGAAGACAGGUGCUGCAUGGCUGUCGUCAGCUCGUGUGGUGACAUGUUGGGUUAAGUCCCGCAACGAGCGCAACCCCUGUCCUUAGUUGCCAGCAUUCAGUUGGGCACUCUAAGGAGACUGCCGUGGUGAACACGGAGGAAGGUGGGGAUGACGUCAAGUCCUCAUGGCCUUUAUGCCUAGGGCGACACACGUGAUACAAUGGUCGGUACAGAGGGCAGCGAAAGCGCGAGCUGGAGCGAAUCUCAAAAAACCGAUCUCAGUUCGGAUUGGAGUCUGCAAUUCGACUCCAUGAAGGUGGAAUCGCUAGUAAUCGCGGAUCAGAACGCCGCGGUGAAUACGUUCCCGGGCCUUGUACACACCGCACUACUA
rnacentral:rRNA from 1 species